GCUUUCUCUUGAGCCAACACCCAAAGCCACCAUCAGUGUCAUGGGGAUGAGACUUUUCAAGGUAAGUGAAAAGAAAACAGGAACAAAUGUAUUUUCACACAGAAUUUGCUGAAGGCCUUGGCUCAUAGUAGGAAGUACUGCCUCACAGGGAUCCCUGUUUGGGGUGUGGAGGGACAUACUGUCCUGGUUUAUGUGGAAUCAUAUAUGGUGUGAGUGAAAUGAGACAGAUCCCCAUUCCCAAGUGCCCUAUCUAAGAUGGAAGCGGGUUAUGUUGUCUAGACUAGAGGAAAUGCUUUUUUUUUUUCUUUCUUUUUUUUUUUUUUUUAGGGAAGGUUAUCAGAAUUUUAAAAGCCAAAUGAUGGCUGGAGAGAAUAACUAACAUUUUAUUGACUGCUUGGCUUUUAAAAGGUGUUUCUCCUCUUUCUUUUUGUUUAAUUUAAAAAGUCUUCUUUUAACCCCGAGAUGCAAUUAAAACUUAAUUUGUGCCUUAUUACAUAGCAGGUAUCCGUUGGCUUUUAUUUAUUAUUUUCUCCAUUAGGAGUUUUAAACUUGAGGUGGAAUUAAUGUCUCUUCUAUGAUCUUUUAUAGUCUUCUUUUUCACAUAUAUGAGUGUUUCAGAAUCCUCUAAAAUACCAUGAGUUUUAAUGUAAUAUGGAUUUUACUAUAUUGUAAAUAUUAGAUUAUUAAGAGUUCCUUAACCCCUUUUAAUGAGAAGGAAACACAGACUUGAAUAGAUAUUUGUGGUUCUUAUUCUUCAAGGAUUUGCCUCCCCUUUUGUGCUUUUUUCUAGGCUGUUCCCACUUUCUUCUUCUUCCUCCUUUGCAGAAGGUAAAACAUCAAUUUAAGAUGAUGAAACCAGACAUUUUGAGAAAAGUUUGGACAACAAUGACAAAGGCAAGCUCCUUUCACUUUGAUUUUUACCCAUUUAUACAGUUUAUACAUAUUUAUCGACUUAAGUUGCUUUAUCACAAUGAUACUUGAAAGCCAACAAUAGAAAUCAUCUUAGAAUUUUGAGUUGUGAUCUUUUCCCUGGCUAGUGAUAUGUGGUACCAUGCUCUCAUGAUGCUGAACAGAGGAAGUGAGCUGCACUCCCAGGCAGCUGUGCACGGAGAGGAUAAACAACUGUCAUCUGCAGUUGUUUGCUAAGCUAUGGUAUUUGGUAGGUUAGGGGUACCAAGUACAUUUUGAAUAUAUGAAUAAAUAUGUGGGUUCACCAAGAAAUAACCUCAUUGUAAGCCAAGGAGCAUCUGUAUUUAUAAGACCAUUUCCUUCCAACCUAAGAGAAUUCUAGCUCAUGUUGAUACAUAAGUUUUAGCAACUUAUCCUAUCCAAUGCUUUGUGUUGACAUAGCCACUCUGAUGUCUUCAGUUCUAUCCUUGGCAACUAUUAUUCCAGAGCCCAUUGGAUCUGAGAUUAUACCAGAAUUUCAUCUUUUCUCAGCCUGAGAUAUUUUUUUACUGUGAAAAUCUUACCCACUGGCAGAUCUAAUUUCUAGAUCUCUCUGGAUUUGACAGAUAAGAUAAACUAACAAGAAUAUUUUGCAUUUGUAUAGCUUUCAUAUACAAAUAUUUUAUUCUCAUAGGCCUAUUUCAAGUUAUGAGUAGAUUUUGAAAAGCAAACUCAACUGACUGACAAAUAGCUAUGAGGACUCUGGACCAGCCUAUUUGUGUUCUUGGACUGCCCAUGAUCAUUGAUUGCUUAUAGAAGUGUGAUUGCAGUAGUUUUGGGGGAGACAAAUCUGACAGUGUCUGUGAACAUUUACUGUGACAUUUUCUAAAGUUCCUUCCAAGGCUUGCAUCACCUGGAUCCUGGCCAGAGUGUCUGUCUGACAUCCUGGCUUGCUUCUCCCUCACUGUGCACCACCCAUGAUUGGCUGUCCCCAUGGGUUCUCAAUCACGUUUUCUCUGUUCUUGGAACUUUGACGCUGGCUACUCUUUCUACCUGGAUUGCUCUUAACACUCCUCGUGGCUUACUCCUGCAAGUUGUUCAGAUUACUGAUCAAAUGUCUUCUCAAAGAGGUCUUCCUUGAUCACCCCAUCCAAAGUAUAAAGUAAAUUCCCUGUGCCUUUCUAUUUCCUUAUUUAGCCUCAUAAAAAUAUAACAUUAUGUUACUUAUUAAACUACUGCCUUUCUCCACCAUUAGAAUGGAUAUUCUGUGAGAGUAAGAACUCCAUUUUUCCCCCCUGCUCUAUUCCUAGAUUUGAAUAGUACAUAGAGGGCUUUAAAUGAAAACCUACUGCAUGAAUGAAUUGUUUGUUGUAGCAAAUGAACAAAAAUAUAAGCAAAAAGAAUACCCAUUGGCAGGAGAAUGGUUGGAUGAAUUGUGCUCUAUUGAUAACAUGCAGUAUUACACAGUUACUGAGAAGAAUGCAUUAGAUAUGUAUUGGGAGAUUUACAAAAAUUAUUAUUAAGGAAGAAGUGCAGACAUAAUAGAGUGUAUAAAAUUAAACUAUGACUAAUUAUCUACCUUCUAGUUAUUUAUCUUUCUAUGUAUCUGUUUACACUUGACUACAUGAAAAUAGGUUCUGGUGGUUAUGCAUUCAGUUGUAGGCAUUGCUAUGUAGGGAAAAUUGUGCCAGGUGAUUGUUGAGCAGGAUUUGGGUAAGGGAAUCAGAGGGCUGAAGGUUGGCUGAAAGGGGAUAGCUAGAUAAACUUUCUUUACAACAACUUCAUUCAAAUCUUUCUUCACUCCUGAGAGUGACAAUCUCUGACUCCUGGUAAGUGACUUAUUUGGCCCCCACUAAUUUCUAUCCUUUGAAGUUCCAUGUUAAUGCUCUAGCAUGCUGAAGCACAGGUUCCAGACAGUAUACUUAAGCCUUGUCUUGACUACCACUUGGAAUCUUUGCAUUCUAAAAUUUAUUUUUCUUUUACUGAUUGAUGUACUUUACUUUUGUUUGUCAUGCAAUUGAGUCCCUGAUGUUCUUUGGGCUGUUGCCUUUCAUUUUUUAGGGGAUUCUGCAGAAGGACUACAAAACUGAUCCUAGAAAAUGUAGGCUUUUGUGGUUUACUAGGGCCCAUAAAAUCCCUAGAAGGGUGCCUGGGAAGACAACAACACUAAGUCUGUGGUAACAUGCUCCACAUGCAUAAAGGUAGGUCGACAGGGCCCUCUGAUAGGCAGUUUGGGAAGCAUUAUUGUUAGAAAGAGUAAACAUUCUGAAAAUAAAAUGGUAUUGUCUCAAAAGCAUAAGAAGGCAGAGGCAAAGUAAUAUGGUUUGAAUAAUUAAUAAUACAAUUAAUGCCCCCAAACCCACAUUUUAGGGUAAGAAUGAGUUAAUUCAUUUUAUCAUAGCUUUCAGUCACAAAAUUUCAUAUUCACUAGUAUUGGUUAGUUUUCCAUCACCUCUAAGGACAGGGUUGUGUACCUUUUCCACUGUCAUUGGAUGGUAAUUUUCAGGCAUCUGUCUACACUUUAAAUGAAAUAAUUUAGAAAUACUGGUUCUAAACUUAAGCUUCCUGAAAGCAAGAAAAAAAUCCCAUAGUGAUUUCAAUUUGAGAAAAUAUAGUGGUUUUGCAACAAUAUAAGUUUGCUAUUUCUAUCUUUAUAGUGUUUUUUUUCUUAUUACUAUUUUAAAGAGGAAUGGUACAACUUGAGAAGAAUAUUAAAAAGUAUCCUAGUGCAAUAAGAAACUGGACCAAUCCAUAAUGUCACAAGCCAUGUGGACAUUAUAAAAUUAGUUUGAAAAUAAUGUUUUCUAAGAGAAGAAAAAGAUGUCUAAACCUUAAAGUGGGGGAAAAACAUCCUAAGAAACUAUUUUUCUAGGAUUUAGACUUUGAAUGAUUUUUCACAUCAACAUAUUUAUAAAACAAAAUUCUUUCCUUUUCUCAUAAGUAUAUAUGUAAUUGAAGAAGAAAAUUAGGGGGCAGUGAUAGAUUAAUGCAGUGUAAGAAUUCUGAAUUUCUAACACACAUGCUUAAUAAACACCAAAUGACAAAAAAUCAUAAUGGUUCGUAAUUGUUUUCUUUCAUGAUGCACCUUGGACUUUGACAUUCACUUAUUUAGGGCAGAAGCCUUUUAAUUAUGUGAACUGGCAGAGCUCAAAAGAAACACAUAAAUAAAUAAAGAAUUGCAAAUACCCUUUACAAUAUUCUUUUUUAAAAGCAGGAUGGAAAGAAAUAAGCAGUAUAUAGAGGAUAUGUCAGCUUCAUGACUGACCUUUCACUGUCUGUUGCUUCACGUUAGAUCCUCUGCAUGAUGGCUGCUUGUGUGUGUGUGUGUGUGUUCAGCAGUAUCAUUUUCAAAAUUAGACUUCUUGAAUUAGGAAAACAUGUUAAAAUCUCACAUUUUAGAAUUGUGGGGAAAGUUUGCACCAGUCAAUGAGUUGAGAAGCUUACUUUCAUUAUUAAUAUGCAACAGUAAUUCCAGUUGUGUUCUGAUAAAAGUCAAUAUAGAUAUUAGUCAUCAGCUCCACAACUCUUGAUGAGACAGGUUUCUACAGAAAAAAAUAUGCCCAUAAGUAUAGAUAUUAGACAUGACCUGAGUAACUAAAGUCAAUAUAGAUAUUAGACAUCAACUUAGUAACUUUUGACAAGAUAGGCUUCUACACAGAAGACUCUCUGGUACUCUAGGGUUUUACUUAACUGUAAAAUCUAACAUCUUUACCCUUUUUAAAACAAACAUUUUUGAACUUAAAACAUAAUUAAAUAGUGUGCUCCAAUCUUAUUAGUAGAGAAAAUUAGUAGUAGAAAAUAUAUUGACUGAUUGAAAAGGCCUUUCAUCCUGGACACUGAGGGUCACCUCUGGCAAAUGUUAGUUACAGUAAUUGAAAUGAAGAUCUUAGCCAGCUGUUCCCUGUACCCUAUUAUAAAUAUGCCUUCCAAGCAGUAUGCUCAGAGGCUUACUGAUAGACAGCUAUGGAACGUAGUGCUCCUUCUAAAGGUCUUCACCUACCAACUUUAUAUUCAUAAUUGCUCCAUGAAAAUUUAUAAUUUUUUAUGCUUGUUAAAAUUACAUGAAUAUAAUUCAUUUUUAGUAAAGCUUCACCAGAUAAUACUAAAUAGAAUGGCUUUCUUUUUUAACUGUACAUAUGUACUGUUGUUAUCUGCUACUUUAUGAAUCUAAGAACACUCAGAGAGAAGAAUAGUUAUAAAAAUAAUUUUGCUUACAGACCUUGCAAAAUGUUUUCAGAUAUAAAAAUUAUCACAAAACUAAAAACAGUAUGUUACUAGAAGCAGAAUUAGCAAUAUGCAAGUAUUUUUACACAUGAAUAUGGAAAUUUUAAGCAUUUUAAAAUUCUUAACUUGAAAUCUAUUAUGUAUAGUAUAACUUUUAAUAUUUUAUGACACACAUGUAUUUUAAUAUUUUAUUUUAUGAUGCACAUGUAUUAUAUUGAUUUAAUGUUAAUUUCUAUACUAUCUCUUAAUCCUUUUCAUACUAUCUUUUAAUCCCAUUAUCCUUUGUAUUCUCCCUCCCUCUCUUUCUCUCUCUCUCUCUCCCCUUGGACACAUAUAUUUUUUUUUCUUUUCCAAAUGCAAAUAUGGGCUAUUUUUAUAAAAAUUUAAAAUUUGAUAUACAUAUAAAAUUUCAGAUUAUGACUCCCAUAAGCAUUAACAUUUUAUUUAAAAAAUACAAAGAAAGUAUUCUUAAGACAUUUAAUUUUUUUUUAAAUUUAUUAUAUAAGCUAAUCAAUGAUUACAUGACAUAUGGGUAUGAAGUAGUAAACAUGUUUAUUACAAACUAUGAUUUAGAUGAAAAAUUUGGUCAGUGAAUACUCAUUUUAAAAAAUUAAGAGAAAUUUAGUUUCUUUGUGACAAUAUGACAAAUUCUUCUAUUAGUGGCAUUUAUGUGAAUAAAGCCAUUCCAAAUUCUCUGGGUUCCUUAACCACUAAAAUGAACCUCACUGUAGUUACAUCUUGGACCUUGUCCAUGGAAGUUUAAAGCUCAAAGUAUCAGCACUUUAAAUUGGUUUCAUCUAUAAUGGUUUACUUUUAACGAGACAGGAUGUUCAAUAUGAGAUUAAUGUAGAAUGAGCCCUGGCUCCAGACCAAGUAAGUUUCUGAUAUUUUACUCUCUAGUGCUGUUUCCCACAGCUUUUAUGCACUGCCGAGAGACCGACAACUGCAAACUACUCCUCAAGUAAAUUUGUUAAAAAUUGGAAUGGAUUGUCUGGUUGUUCCUUUAUUUGGUAAAGUUUAUACUUUUUGAACAGAUUUGUUUAUUGUUGAAUAGACAUGUCUUCUAAGCUCUUAGGAAUUACAUAUUUUCUUGACCUGAUUCCUCCAGGUCCAGUAGAAGUUAGCCAAUAAACUGAGGCAGGCAAGUGUGUUCUGGCUCCCAGAGGGAGAAUAAUCUUCAUUUAGUGGAAAUGCAAAUAAUUGGGGGUGGUGCUAAAAACAUGGGUGGGGAUAAGACUGUCCAGGAAGGCGAUAAAGAAGAGCGUAGAAAAUAGAACCAUGCAAAUUCAAAAUUGAAACUGAGAAGGAGAACUCAGAAACUAAAAAGGAAUAGCUAGCAAAAAAGGGGAGGUAGUAUCCCAGAAGAAAAACACUGCGGGAGUGAGGGGUUGAAAAGAAUACAGCCAACUGCAGCAUCCAGUGGUGCAACAAGCUUAAGUAAUAGGAGAAUAAAAACGUGCUCAGAGAUGCUGGCCACUGAGAUUUCAUGGUGGGCUUAAAGAGAGCAUUCUUGGAAGGCUGACGUGGCUGAGAGAAUAGGAAGAAGAGUCAGUGAACAUAAACAACACUUAUGAAAGCAUCUGAUGAUGGGCUGGGAGGGGCGUAGUGAAGGGUCUGAACAAGAGAAUAGGUUGAGGGAACAGACCAUCUUUCCAUUUUUGGAAAUAAAAUUUUGUUUCUGAUAUAAAUACAGGGAUUUAAUCUGAAAUGCUUCUGUAGUACGUUAAGUUAGAAGGUUUCAAGGCUAUAGCUUUACAAUGACAAAAUAGAAAUAAAUAGACAAAAUCAAUGUAAUUAGCCACUUGAAAUAAUUUAUCUUAAGCUUACACACCAGCAUCUAAUGUUUUUUGAGUGCUAAUAGAUUUAAUUUGCUCUGGUUAAAAUUUUUCAAUAAAUACCCAUUAAAUAUCAUAAAUACUAAUUACAUUUUUUUCUGUGAAUAUUUUAUAUUCUGUACUCUGUUGAUGAUAUAUGCCAUGUGUAAUGUUUAGUUUAACAUUAAGUUAGAAUGAAUCUUCUUCAGAAUAUGCUAGCAUAUUUCUUAGAAAUACAAGAAACAUUUUCCCUAUGAUAGACAUUUUUGAAUGGAACUUUUAUAAAUACUAACACUAAAGGUGAAGACAACUUCUGUAAAUUAGAAUCAGUAUUAAUGUUAAAUGUUAUGGUUUAGAAAUAGAAACAAGUAUAAAAAGUCACAAAAGUUGUUGUUACAAACUAUCUUAAAAGGAUUUCUAUUUCUACUGCUAGAGCCUGCCAUGAAGGAAAUGGUGAUCAGAUACUUCAAAUUUGAUUUUAGAUUUAAACAACUUGAGAAAACUGCAGUUACUCAUGACUCCCUUUAUCCAAAAGUUCUACAUUCCCGUAUUUUUUAAGGGCGUAUCCUGGGUUCCCUUCUCUUUUCUGAUUAUCAUUCUUAAAGCUUGGUGUAUUGCCUGUAUUCACUCCUGAUGAGGAGUGAAUUUAUAUUUCUAGCAAACACCAGUAAUCUGAAUUAAUGGAUCUAAUGCCUCUUUCUCCUCCUUUUCCUCUACCUUCUGCUCCUACUUCACAACCACUUUAGUUUAAUCGAAAAAUAAUUGACAUUUAAUAUUGACAAUAUACGUUUUGGGUAUGAAAAGUAGUACAACCCCACUGGAAAACAGUUUGGCAACUUCCUAAAAAUUUAAACAUGUGCCUACCUUACAAUUCAGCCAUUUCAUUCCUAGGUAUUUUUUUCAAGAGAAAUUGAAAUGUAUGUCCAUACAAAGGCUUAUAUAUAAAUGGCUAUAGCAACUUUAAAACUUUAAAACUGUAAAAACACAAAUGCCCAAAAGUGAAUGAAUAAGGUUCAUUUUGAGUAAGGGAAUGUGACAUAUUCCUACAAUGGAAUACCACUGCUCAACAAUAAGGAAUGAAUUGAUGAUGCACAUGAAAUAUGGAUGAAUCUUAAAAGAUAUGUUGAGUGAAAAAAGCCAGGUAAAAGUAUCAAACUUUUUUCCAAUGACUAUUUAAAUUUACCUUGCUGAUUUGUAUUUUAUGACCUAUAGUCCAGAAUGUUUCUGAGUACUACGGGAACAUUUCAUUUAUUAUAUCAAAUGAUUUCAUUUAUAUGAAAGUUUAGAAUAUAUAAGCUGAUAUAUAACAACAUAAAGCAUAUUUUGGUUGCCUGGGGACUUUUGAGGGAAUGGGGAGAGUGGGAGAAAUUGCAGAAGGCUCCAGAAAUAUUUUGGGCAAUCAUUACAUCCCUUGUUCUGCUUGUGGUAAUAAUUUUAUGACUGAACACAUAAGUCAAAACCUACAAAUUGUACAAUUUAAAUAUGUGCAGCGUAUUAUAUGUCAAUUUCUCUUUUAUUAAGCCAAAAAGAAAAGGUAAGAUUAGAAGGAGGAGGAGGAGAAGGAGGAAAAAAGUAGAGCCAUAAAUUUAGAGUAGUGGUAUUUGCUAGAAAUAUAAAUUAAGCCAGGUGCAAUGGUGCACACCUGUAAUCCCAGCAACUGGAGAGGCUGAGGUGGGAAGACUGCAAGUUUGAGGUCAUCCUUGGCAACUCAACGAGGACCUAAGCAACUCAGCAGGACCCUAUCUCAAUUUUUAAAAAAGUAAAAAAGCUCUGGGGAUGGUGGUAAAGUAUUCCUGGGUUCAAUCCUCAGUGCUCCUCCCCCCAAAAAAAUUCAGUCCUCACCAAUGUGUAAAGCUUUUGUGAAUGAAUGAAACCACCUACAUAGAAAUUAGUCAGAAAAGAGAAGGGGAUCCAGGGUACAGUUUCAAGAAAGACCAAAAUGUAAACGUUUAGGGUGAAGCCCAGUGUAAUGGUGCAUGCCUGUAAUCCCAGUGACUCAGGAGUGUGAGACAAGAAGAUCACAAGUUCAAAGGCAGCCUAAGCAAUUUAGCAAGGCCCCAAGCAACUCAGUGAGACCCUGUCUCUGAAAUACAAAAUAGGGCUGAGGGUGUGGUUCAGUGGGCAAGUGUCCCUGAGUUCAAUCCCUGGUACAUAAAGAAAGAAAGGAAGGAAGGGAAAGAGGGAGCGAGGAAAGAAAGAUAGUUUAGGAUGAAAGGUGGAGGGAGGAGUCAUGACAAAUUGUUCAGUUUUCUUGAAUUCUUUAAAUCCAAAAUCAAAUUUGAAGCAUAUGAUCAUCAUUUCAUUCACUGCAGACUGUACCAGUAGGAACACACAUCCCUUUAAGAGAGUUUGUAACUUUUGUAACACGGAUGGCUUUUAUAGUCAUUCUUAUUACUAAACUGUAGUUUGUUGCUCCCCUUCCUUGUCAACACUUAAUAUGGCUAAUAUUAUAACUUUAAUUCUCAUAGAUGUGUGGUGUUAUUUAUGUGAUUUUCUUUUGCAUAUCUCUAAUAACCAAUGAUGGUAAACAUGUUUUCUGUGCUUAUUUGCUGUCUAUAUUCAUUUUGGGUAAAGUGUUUGUUCAAUUCUUCUGUCAUUUUUAAAUUGGGUGAAUUAUUGUCUUAAUUUUGAGUUUUAAGAAAAAUGGAACAUAAUUGUUUUCCCUGGAUAUAAAUUAUUUAGCAGAUAUAUACUUUGCAAAUACUUUCUUCCAUUCAGGGUUUUUUCUUCAUUGUCUUUCAAGAAACAGACAUCUUUAAUUUUGAUGACAUACAACUACAAUUUUUCUGGAUUUUUGCAUCAUGCUUUUGGUGUCAUAUCUGAAAAUUAUUUGCCUAAACAAGGUCACAUUGAUUUUUUUACUUGUACAAGUUUUAAAGUUUUACAUCCUAUGUUGAGGCUUAGGUUCAUUUUGAAUUUUGAAUUAAUUUUUUUUAUGGUUUGAGAUAUAUAUGAAUUUAUUUUCCUGAACAUACAUAUGCAAUGGUUCCAGAAUUAUUUUUUGAAAAGGAAUUUUUCUUAACUGAAUUUUCUCUUCACAUUUGUCAAAGUGAUAGUUAUCUAUAUAUGUAAAGUUUUACUUCCGCACUCUCCAUCCUGUUCCAUAGAUUUGUUUAUUUAUUUUCAUGCCAAAACCAUACUGUUCAUUUUAUCUAUCUUGACAUUAGGCAGUGUUAAUCUUCAAAUUUUUUUUAAAGUUGUUUUGGCUAAUAUAGGUCUUUCCAUUUCCAUAUGAAUUUUUAAAUUAGGUCAGUGAAGUUCUCUUUUUUAAUUAUCUUUUUUUUAGCAUUUCAUUUUGAUUAUUCCUAUUGCCAUAUUUUCAAGUCCAUGAAUCUUUUAUCCUGUGAUGACUAAUCUGCUGUUCAUCUAAUUUGAUGUAUAACAUUUUUAUCUUGGUCAUUAUGGUUUUCGUCUCUGAAAGUUUUAUUUUGUCAUUUUCAUAUCUCCCAUAUCUUUACUUCAGUUUCUUAAAAUGUGGGAAAAUAGUCUUGUGUGCUAACCCUAACAUCUGUGUCAUUUCUGGGUUGGGUUCAGUUGAUUAAUUUUAUUCUUGGUUUUUAAAAUUUCUUGUGAAUGAGUCAUAAUUUCCUACUUCUUUGUAUGACUGGUAGUUUUUUAUUAGAUGCCAGGCAUUGUGCAUUUUACCUUCUUGGAUGUUGUAUAUUUUUGUAUUCUCAUAAAUAUUUUUGAGCUUUGUUCUGGGGAAUAGUUAAAUUAUUUGGAAAUAAUUUGAUCCUUUCUUUUCUUACAUUCUAGAUUUGUUAAGUGGGACCAGAGCUGUGUUUAGUCUACUGCAUCCCAUUGUUGGGAAAAGAUCCUCCAAAGUGCUUACCCACUGCCUUGGAAACAUGAGGUUUUCCUGUCUAGUUGGUAUGAGAAGAACUUUUCCCAGCCCUAUGUAAACUCCAAGAACCAUUGUCUCUAAUCCUUUUAGUUUUUUUUUCCUAGUCCUGAGGGGGGAAUGAUCACAUGUUACAUGCAUAUGACGAUCAGUGUUCCCCUGAAUGAUCUAGAAGAGUUCUCUUCAGAUUUCCACACUUGUAUCUCAGUGCAGCUCUCCCCUGUCCACCGUGUAGAAGCUCCUUCCGCCCUGUGCCAUCCUGUAGAAACUCUCUCAGGGAUAUAAGUGAAUCUUAUAGCUUUUUGACAUCUCCUUUUGGAUGACCCAUAGCCAUCCCAAACUUAAUAUACCUAAAGUGGAAUUUCUCUCUGAAAACUUUUCUCCUUUUAUUAACCUCUCAAUAUGUAGUAUAACAACCAGACGGUUGCUUAAACUUGAGCCUAGAAGUCAUUCUCCAUUAUGACCCACAUCCUGCCCUUCAAUAAAUCAUGGAUUAGGCCUUUAAGUUAUAUCUUCAAUUCAUUUACUUCUCUUCAUUUCCACUUCUGUCAUCCUAGUCGAGGGCACAGUUGUCUCCCCUGAUAUUAUUGCAGUGAUCUUCUGCUUGUUUUCUAUGUUUCCUCCUCUGUUCUGCCAUAGUCAUUCAUCAUAUAGAUGCAUUUAUGCUUCUUUAAAAUCCUUCAAAAUAUUUCUGGUUAAAUAAAAAUCCAAACUCCUCACGACAUCUCACAAAAUACAAAGGAUUUGAUCAGCCUUUUCCUGAGCAGUUAUCCUGGCCAUGGUUGGCAUAUUACCCUCUUUACUUUCUAGCAAACAUGGAGCUCUUUCCAAUAUGAGGGACUUGCCACCAUGUGGACUGUCUAUCUGCUAGUUUUGUGGUAUAGCUGAUACUCAUGUAUCCUUUAAAUCUUGACUUAAAUAACUCCUCUGUAGGCAAGCUUUCAAUAAUUUUUUUCCAAUUAACUAUGUCUUCAUGCUAUUUACCAUCAUAGUACCUGGCUAUUAUCUUUAUGGAAUUUGAUCAUUUUAUAAUUAUACUUUGUAAUUAUAUAGCUCUUUUUCUGUCUGUCUCUCCACUAGAUUUUAAAAUUUGGAGGAUCUAAACCAUUUCUUUUUUUCUCACCAUUAUAUACUUAUUAAUUAAUGGUGAUGAUCAUGUGUAGCAGGAAUUCAAUACCUUGUUCAUUGAAUGAAUGUAAUUAUUGAAUUAAAAUUACAUUUGGUGUGAUUUCCGAGUGCUAGAAAGACUAUCAUUGUUAAUUUUCUAUUGGUAACCAAAAUCAAUUAGAGCUGUAAUAAUGAAAACAUCGUGGUAUUGACAUAAAAAAAAGACACAGAGACUAAUGGAACAGAAUGGAGUACUGGGAAAUAACCUCAUAAAUUUUCUGCCAACUGAGUCUUCACCAAGGUACCAAAAACAUACAUUGGAGAAAGGACAGCCUCUUCAAAAGUUGGUAUUGGUGUUGGAAAAACUGAAUAUUCACAUGCAGAAUAUUGAAACUUGACCCCUAUCUCUCACUCUAUACAAAAAUCAACUAAAAAUGGAUCAAGUUCUAAAUAUAAGACCUGAAACUAUGAAGCUACCAAAAAUAAAUAAACAAAUAAAUGAAAACCAAAAAAAAAAAAACAUAGUGGAAACACUUCAAGAUAUCAGUCCAGGCAAUGAGCAUUUGAAUAAGAUCCCCAAAGCACAGGAAACAAAAGCAAAACUACACAAACGGGGUCAUGUCAAACUAAGAAGUUUCUAUGCAUCAAAGAAAACAAUCAAUACAAUGAAAAGACAGCCUACAGAAUGAGAAGAAUAUAUAUAUGUCAGAUAUUCAUCUGACAAAGAUUAGUAUCCAGAAUAUAGAAGGAAUUUAAAAAAUGACAACAGUAGUAAACCCCAAAUAAUCCAAUUAAAAAGUGGGUAAAGUAUGAGAAUGGACAGUUUUCCAAAGAAAGAAUUUAAAUGGCCAGCUAAUUUAUGCAAAAAUGCUCAGUUUCAUUAGUCAUCUGGGGACUGAAAAUCAAAAUCUCAGUGAGAUCAUCUCACCCCAGAUAAAACAUCUGUUUAACAAAUGCAGGAGAUGAUGUGGAGUAAAAGGAACUCAUAUAUUCAAUUGAUGAGAAUGUAAACUGGUACAGCCACUAUGGAGAAUAGUGUGAAUGUUCCUCAAUAAACUAAAAAUCUACUAUAUGAUCUGGCUAUCCUACUUCUGAGUAUAUAUCCAAGGGAAAAGCUAUCAGAAUACCAGAGACACCUGCAUGCCAUGUUUAUUGCUGCACUAUUCACAUAGUUGAGAAAUGGAAUUAACCCAAAUGCCCAUCAGCAGAUGAAUGGAUAAAGAAAUGGUGGUGUGUGUGUGUCCACAAAUGCAUACUAUAUACACAGUGAAAUACUACUUGGUCAUUAAAAGAAUGAUAUCCCAUCAUCAUGUUUAGCAAAAUGGACCAAACUGGAGAACAUUAUGUUAUAUGAAAUGACCUAGACACAGAAAAAGAAAUGCUGCAUGGUCUUUCUUAUAUGUGGAUAUUAAAAGAAAUCAAUCAGAAUAUAUAAUAGUGAUUAUUAGAGGCUGGGAAAUUGGGGAGGGAAGGGUAGAGGGAAGUUGGAUGAUUAGUAUACAAUUACAGUAAGGUAGAUGUAAUGAGCUCUAAUGUUCAUAGCACAUGGGGUGACUGUAGUUCACAGUAUCCUAUUAAAUAUUUUAUGAAUAGCCAAGUGUGUGGCACAUGCUUUUAAUCCCAGUUUAGGAGGCUGAGGCAGGAGGAUCUCAAGUGCAAAGCCAGCCUCAGCAACUUAGUGAAACCCGAGGCAAUUCAGUGAGACCCAGUCUCUAAAUAAAAUACAAAAUAAAAAAGGGCUGGGAAUGUGGCUCAGUGAUUAAGUGCCUUUGGGUUUAAUCCCCAGUGUGGGCAGGGGGGUGGGGAAUGAAUAACUCAAACUGAGAAGCUAGAAAGCUAAAAACAAAGUAAAGAUAAGGAGAUAGAAAUGUUAUUUACCUAAUUUGAUCAUCACAUUUUGUAUACAUGUACUGAAAUAUACUCUAACCCAUAAAUGUGUAUAAUUGUUAUGUUAAUCAAAAAAUUUUUAAAGAAUUAAGGAGAUGGAAAUGCUAACAAGCCUAGUUUGAUCAUUGCACACUGUAUAUACGUAAUGAAUUAUUACAUUGUAUCUCAUAAUUUGCAAAUAAAUAAUAAUAAACAUUUUAAAAGCGAAAAUGCUACCUUCAUAUAUGAAAAUGUCAAGAUUCUGUGAUUUGCCAGAUAUUUAGUAGCUAAUGUUUGCCGGCUGAUGACCAGUCCAGCUCUCAUAUAAUAUUAGAACAGAUAAAAGCAGCUGUUAAACUCAUCCUAAGUUGAAAAUAUUAAGUUGAAAGUGCAUCUAUUACAUUUGACCUGCCAAACGGUCUGGCUUAGCAGCACAGUUCACCAUAGAGCACUGGUUGUUGCCCUUGUGAUCAGGGGCAUGACUGGGAGUUGUAACUUACUACUGCUCUUGCCCAACAUUGCAAGAGAAUAUCAUGCCCCAUAUCACUAGCCCAGGAAAAGAUUCAAAUUCAAAAUCUGAAGCAUUGUUUCUAAUGAAUGUGUAUCAGCUUAGCACCAUUUUAAAGCUGAAAGUCCUAAAUCAGGUUAUUGUAGGCUGGGGGCCAUUUAUAGACUGCAGAGGCGAGAUUUGGAACAGUGAGACUACUGAAGAGGCUAUUUUAGUAAUCCAUGGGAUUAAGGUGGCUUGGACCAGGGACAUGACCCUGAAGGUACUAAAAACAAGUGAAAUUCUGGUUAUAUUUUGAAGAUGGAGCUGACAGUCCUUAUACCAGGUUGGAUAUAGGCAUGAGAGAAAGAGAAAGAGUUUCUUAUGCAUAUGUCUGAGAUGUUGUGCUUGGAUCAACCAGAAAGAUGGGUUUGUUGCUAACAGAGAAGGGGAAGCUGCUAGAAGAGCAGGUUUUGAAAGAGUAAUCCAGAGUUUAGACAAGUAAAUGUGAAGAUAACUUAUAACCAUCUCUAUGGAGAUAUCAAGAAAUCAGCUCUAUGUUUUCUCUGAUAUAAGGAGGUUGAAUCAUAGUGGGGUAGGGAGUGGGAGCAUGGGAUGAAUAGAUCAAUUCUAGAUAGGGAAAGGGAAGGGGCAGGGGAUUAGCAAGGAUGGUGGAAUGUGAUGGACAUCAUUAUCCAAAGUACCUGUAUGAAGACACGAAUUGGGUGUCAACACACUUUAUAUAGAGAGAUAUGAAAAAUUGUGGCAUAUAUGUGUAAUAAGAAUCAUAAUGCAAAAAAGUAUAUGUAUGAAGACAUGAAUUGGCAUGAACAUACUUUAUAUACAAUGAUAUAAAAAUGUGCUCUAUAUGUGUAAUAAGAAUUGUAAUGCAUUCAGCUGCUGUGUAUUUAUAAAAAUAAAAUCAACUAAAAUAAAUAAAUAAAUAAUUUUAAAAAGAGUGGAUCCCAGUGCACACAUAUGAUGUUGAGAGCCAUAAAACUGAAUGAGAUUCUGAAAAGAAAAUAUUCAAAUAAAGAGGAAAAGGUAUCCAGAAUCCAAACUCUUGGGAACUCUAAUAUGAAAAUGCAUUAAAGAUAACAGACAGUGAAUGAGGAUGAAAUUGGGUAGUGGUAGGUAAGCAAAGUGAAGAAAGGAGGAAGGAGUGAUCACCUUUGUAAUAUUGUGCUGAGAGAAUGGAUGAGAGGAAACUGAGCAAUGCAUGUGGCAAUGUAGAGGUCUUUGGUGGCCUUUCAGUUUUGGUGAAAUGAUGGAUGGCAAUGCUUGACUGGAGUUAGUUCAUCCGAAAAUGGGAAGAGAGUGCAGUCCUGGACCCCUUCAUUUUACACAAUGCCACUUACAAGAUUCUUAUUCCAAAUGAUGGACAAUAAAAUCUGUACUAACAGCCCUUUCCUGAGGAUUUUGGUGUAUCACCACUUGACACACUUUGGCAUAUCCUUCUAUAUGGUCAUUAUAUAUGACCUCCAGUGUCCAUCAGCAUUUUCAUUUUAUAGAAAUAAUUGUUUUCCUAAAACUUUGACACUUGCUGUCAACUUUGAGUAGCCAUCCUUCUUUUCUCCAACAGAAGAAAUACCUAUUUGUGUUUUAUAGACAAGUAUAUGUGAAAUUAAAAAAAAAAAACCACAGUAUCUAUAAAUUUCUAUGUUAGUGAUAUUUGCCUGGCUUUCUUUUAUAGAUAUAAUGUUUUUUCAUAAUUGAAAAUGUCUGUGGCAAGUGACAGAAUUAAUACUAAAUUUUUUUUCUACUGAAGAGGGACAAUUUGAUGUCUAUGUAUAUACACAAGUUUAUGUGUGAAAAAGUAACACAUUUUUUCAUAUAUGAGUAAAAAAUUUUAUAGAAGAAAAAGACUGACUAAAAUUGGACUCUCAAAUAUGCCCUCCUUCUGUCUCUCUGUAUAUAUGUAUUUAUUUCAAAAUAAUAUCAAAAUUAUUGAAAAAAUUUAAAGGACUUUUUUUCUGCACAAUUUGAGAGUAACUCAAUAAUAUGUUGCCACAUCACUCCAAGCACUUUAGUAUAUAAUUUCUGGAAAUAAAAUCUUCUCCUAUAUUAUCACAGAAUAGCUAUCAAAGUAGGAAAUUAAUAUUGACACAUUAGAUGCCAUUAAUCUUUUAACUUCUUGUCUGAAAGAGUUACUAAGCAUUUCCUUAAUCUUUGUGAACCAACACUGGCAGUUAUUUGUAGAAUACUCCUCAAUUUGGAUAUGCUUGAUGUUUCUUCAAUACUUGAUUCAGAUUAUAUAUUCUUGGCUUGAGUAUCAGAAGGGAUGCCAUGGUUUUUGGUACUCUAUGAUACUGUAUAGCAAAUUACCUCACUUUAUCUUAUUACUGAUGAAAUAACUUGGAACACUUGGAUAAAAUCAUGUUUGUCAAGUUUCUCCAAAGUAAAGUUACCCAUUUUUGCUUCAUAAUUUAAGAACUAUUUCACAUGAAGAUCAUAUGAAGCUAUGCAAUCAUCUCACACUUCAUCAAACUUUCUCUCUGUGGUUUUAGUAUUUGUUGAUAUUCUUUGGCUAGAUUAUUACAAUUAUGGUUACCCAGUAGUUAUUUUUAAAUUCCAAUAUUCCUUCUACAUCUUUUAGUUGUAUUCUACUAUAAGAAAAAAACUUUCUCUUCUCCCCAACUAUAUACUCAUUUUUUUAUCAGUGUAGAUUCCUAGAUGCCUAUUUUAUUUAAUGAAUUAUAAUUUGUUAUAGCAUUACUUAUUUGGAUGCACAUAUUGUCCUUGAUUUGACCAGUGGGAGUUCAUUUAUGUUGGCUUCCCAAUUAAUCAUUGAGUGCUUACUUAUUUUCUGGCACAAGAAGGCUCAUCUCAUACUUUUUCUGUCCCAGCUCUGAAAUUCACUAUUUCUCUAAGCAAGUCUAUUUCCCCUUAUGGAAGAUGGUAUUUAGAAAGCAACAUCAGUGUUGUUAAUCACGCUUAUUGUUACUCAGUAUUCCCAUGUUUUUCCAGUGCACAAAACUUGGGAAUAUUGAAUGCAUACAUUUACACAUAUUUAUAUUUUUUAUAUCUAAAAGCAUAUUGAAAACCUAGAGUUUACACUGACACUUUCAGUCCUAAUCUAAUCAAGAAGUUCCCUCUAGUACUCUACUUUUCUAUAUGAAUUUUGUAUAGAUAGUCAGAAACUCACUCUCACUAUCCUUAAAGUAUGUCUAAUCUGUUUCCUGGUAAGUAAAAUCUCUUGAUUCCAUGCCUUUUAACUGCUUCAGAUACUUUCAUAGCCUUGCUUAGGUUACAGCUAUGUUCCAGACUGGGCAUCCACACCUCUCCCUCCCCACAGUCAAUCUCCCAACAUCACAGGACUCUAACACCACAUUACCAGGCAUCAGACUAGGCAACUAUCAUCCCAUCCCUGCCUCUUGGACAUUUACUUCUUUUUAAAGUAAGGAGACAAGGAAAGAGGGCCUUCCUUACAUGGGGAAUAUACUCCACUGAGCUUCUGAGGAACUAACCCUGUGUUCCUCAGUGUUUUCUGUAACCUAUGAGGAUGGCAAAUUUAGGAACAUAUGCAAACUUAACUCAUGUCAAUGGCAUACUUACCAUUUCCUUUUCACAGUAAAUUUAGUAAAUGUGAUCUAAUAUUGGUACAUUUGUUUAUUUUCAGCUUUAAUGCUUUUUUUCCCACUAACUUCUAGAAAUCUGUGUGUCCUUUUUAUUUUAUGGGAAUAAACUAUUUUUCGGGUGUUUAAUUCAUUUCUCUGACAUUUUUGAGUGACUGGGCUGUUGGAAAACCACAGGAAUUUCCACAUUUAUUAUAUCGUCUGAGGAGAUGCUAAUCUUCCUGCAAUUUCAACAAUUGUAGAAAAAGUGCCACUGAUCCCCCCAACUUCAAUGUCCAGUGGUUACUGAUAUUGUAAAAAUGGACAUAUAUUCUUCAUAAUUCCAAGUUUCUUGUUCUUUCCAAGCACAAAUAAUCCAUUUUUUAAAGUUGGAACAUAUAUACAAUAAUUCUGUGCAUAACACAAAAAUGAGUCAUGUAAUAUUAAAGUUUUUUUAAGGUAAGGAUAUAAUUUUAAACAUUUUGCUGAUUUAUAAUUUUAUUUAUUUAUGUUAUGUGUGGAAUAUGAGGAAUAGCCAUUAUGUUUUUAUAUGCAAGACUAUGAAUAUCCUCCAGGCUACUUCAUGGAAAAUACACAUAAAAGCAAAAAGCCAAGAAAAUAGUUCAAAUUACUAAUUUUAAAUAGUAGCAACCAUAGAAGAUUGGACCUGAGGAUAGUUCCCACAUAAGAAUUGUAAAGGGACUGGGGUUGUGGCUUAGUGGUAGAGCACAUUCCUUGCAUGUGUGAGGCCCUGGGUUUGAUCCUCAGCAAUAUAUAUAUAUAUAUAAAGAAUGAAUUGUAAAGAGGAAGGGUAGUGUUUAAAUGCAAAUUCAGUUGAAUAGUAUGGGUAAAAUAGAAAUUCUGGGAGGUGAGAUCAAGCUGAGAAAAGUCAGAGUCAGCGGGGCAUGGUGGCAAGAGCCUUUUACCCCAGCAGCUCGGGAAGCUAAAGCAGGAGGAUUGCAAGUUCAAAGGCAGUCUCAGCAAAAGCGAGGCACUAAGCAAUUUAAUGAGACCCUGUCUCUAAAUAAAAUACAAAAUAGGGCUGGGGCUCAGUGAUGGAGUGUCCCUGAGUUCAAUCCCCAGUACCCCACUUCCGGACCCCACCAAAAAAAGUCAGAGUCAAAGCUAGCCCAGGUUCUCUUCAAGUUUCUUCUUCAGGUUUGGAGUCCACUCCUUAGGGGAAGAUCCAGCUCAGCCCCCUGCUAGCAAGUGCUUCAGUACUUUUCAUACCAUAGCAUUUGUUAGAUAUUAAUUUAUGAUUUAAUUCUAGCUUUCCUGUAAGUAUAGGACAAAGACCACAUCUUUAUGCAUAUUAAACCUAGUAGAGUGCUUAGUAUAUGCCAGGUGCUCAGUAAAUAAAUUUUAACAUGAAGGCAAUAGGAGAGUAAUUUGAGAAGCAAAAACAAUGUGUUUAUGUCUUCAAUUACAGUGGAAUAAUCAAUGAAGGAUUUGAUUAACUUUCUCACUAAGAUCCUCAGAAGAGAAAAAUGGAUUAAAGAAAAUUUUCCAAAUCAAGCAAUUAAAAUUUGCAAACAAACAAAAACCCUUUGCAUUAAUGUUUAAAUGUUGAGGUUGAAUAGAUAUUAAGAUGGAGUAGUGCAGAGAAAAGAAUAAGAGAGACCACCAUGGAAUUAAGACAACAUCAAGUGAACAUUUGCUAGAUCUGCACUGCUGUAGAAGUUGCUCAACUUGGAUAAGCCUCCAUCUCCUCAUCUUUAAAAUAAGAUUAAAAUAUAAUUACAAGUAUAAGGAUUAGAUAUAUGUCAAAUGUAUAUGUAAUAAAUGCUCAAGAAAUAUUAAGUUCUACUAUACUUAUCCCUGUUUUCCAGUUUUUAUUUGGUUUUAAAUGGUUGAGUUUAAUAAACUAAAAAGAAAUCCUCCAGAACUUACUGAUAGCCAGUAUACAAAAGUCAUGUUUUUUGACCCUUACCAAAAGAGCUGUGAGUUUCUAGGAGAAAAGAACAUGGUCUUAUCCUCCAGUUUAAUAUGUCUGGCACACAGGUGUACCACAUAUGGAAUAUCAUCACCAAAUAAAUAAUAAAUAUAAGAAAAUAUUCAUCUGUCCUUUACUUCCUGUCUCUUCUGCAAGUAUGUGUUCAUGUAGAGAAAAAUUAAAACGCAGUGCAAAAAAGAGUGCAGUCCCUGAUGAAAAACAGAGAUAAGUACUAGAUUAAAAGUCUGAAGGACUUAAAACCAAAAUACUGCAAUAAGCCAGUUAAGUCUGCACCUUUUUGAUACUGCUUGCCAACUCCAGUCCUGAUCUACAAAUAAUCACAGUGCAAUUACCCUAUCUAUCAUCUAACCCUCACAGUCUCUGUUGAUGAUUGUAUAUAGCUUAGGUAUCAUUUUAUAAAAACAGAGGAACAAAUUGAUUCUGUUUUUCUGCAUUGCCACCUCCAAAAAGCAGUCCAUGUGGCUUUCAUUAGUAGAACUGUGUAUACAAUUUACACAUAAAGCUAUCAUAGACUUAUCAUCCUAGACAGUAUGCCUGGGGAUAAUGUGGAAAUUAUGCUCUUUUGUGUGACUGGGAAGGUCUCCAAGAUGAGUGCCAUUUCUUGGAACAGCAGAAUUCUUUUCUCACAUGAGCUACAUGACAGAGGAGUGUUACACAGCUCACCCAUGGCUGUUGGCAGCCAAGUGGCACCCAAACAGAGUUCUGAUUCUGCAUUAUGUAAUUGGAAAUCCCUGCAGUGCAGUAAGUUUUCAAUGUGCACAAUGAUCUAAAUUAAUGUCUCACUUCUACUUUGGGAGAAUUAGACUGCCAAUGAUUUGAUUUUUUUUUUUUCUUUUAGGGGGCGAGAUGUAAUUUAUCAUAGAGAAAAUUGUAAUAGAUGUUUCUAUGUCUUGGUUUUGUGCAAGGAAGAUGUACCAUUCCUUUUGUUUUUCUACCUAAUCCUGUGGGAUGUGUGACUUAUAUGUUAGGAAUGCAUGUAUAUGUGUGUGUGGGUACGCGCACAUGUUCGUUUUCAUUCAUUUACCGUUUAAGGAGGAUGGUGCUUUGGUUAUCACACAUAAAAGCACGGUUGCUUAGUCGCCAAAAUAUGGGAGCUCUUCUCCCAGAGACAGCAGCUAUUUGUUCUGCAGAUUCCAAAGUUCCUGGAAGUGUUUUCCUUUCUUUCAGUUUUGAUUUAAAAUUGUUACUACUUUUUAAUCUAAUUUCUUGUAAAUGAUUAUUACCUAUAUCAUUUUCAUAAUAAAAAUGUGUUUCAAUGGAAACUGUUUUCUUUGUUAUUCUCAAAGGAAAUGCUGUUUUAUAGCAAUACCAACAGACUCUCACCUAGGAGGAAACAAUACAGAUUAUUCAGAAAUUUUUCUUCAUGACUUCAAGUGUAUGUGGAAUCAUUUACCCACUAUUAACCUUUCCUUGGAUUCUUUAGACUAUUUCAGAAGGAAAAUAUCUUUACAUGAAAAAAAUGACCCUGGGCAAUGACAGGGAAGAGUGAAUGUUUUAUGAAAACCAAGCUCUGUCUCCAUCUCUUGCAAAAUCUCUAGCUCACUUGCCCUAAUCUAACUAUGCCUCUGCUUUCUCUCUUUUGAAGCCUGGCAACAGCCUCUUAACUGGUUUCUCCACAAUUACUCUAACCUCCAAAGUGUCUUCACAGAACUCAUGUAGAGUCAGAUCACCCACUUCCUUUCCUCAAAACUGAGGCAUGAUCAUGCUUAAAAUUCUCCAGUGGCUACCCUUUGUGCUUAGGAUCAGAUAAACGAACUCUUGGACAGGUUUGGGUGGCUUGGUUUACUCCUCUAGCCUCAUCUCAUUCACUUCAUUCUUCUCCUCUAAACUACAGCCUCCCCUUCCUUCUCUAGGGUCCUUUAGAAACCCUCCUAUCUACACAUGUCCCUGUGCUUAGAGCACAGUUGCUCACACUUUGUACCCUAACCCUUUCUUCAACUCAAUUUUCAUUUCUCCAGAGUAGCUUUAUUCACCAAAAUAAUUUGUUCUUCUCCUUUAAAACCACCUGUAAUCCCAGCAGCUUGGGAGGCUGAGGUAGGAGGUUCAAGAGUUCAAAGCCAUCCUCAGCAAUGGUGAGGUGCUAAGCAACUCAAUGAGACCCUGUCACUAAAUAAAAUACAAAAUAGGGCUGGGGAUGUUGUUCAAUGGUUGAGUGGUCCUGAGUCAAUCUCCAAUAAUCCCCCACACACAAAGAACUAUAUAUAGUCCCCUAGCAUUUUGGUUUUCUCCUUUAGAUCACUUGCUACAGUUGGAAUUUUAGAUUUGUUUAUGUAAUGACUCUGAUGAAAAGUUCUUUUCCAUACUGCAUGUAUGCAGACAUUGCAUUUAAAAUUUUGCUUAACUUUGUAUACCACAAGUUAAUUUAGUGCCUGGAUUGUGAUAGGGGUUUCAUAUAAUCCCUUUUUUUUAAGAUGAAUGAAGAAAUGAAGUUAUAUGUCAAAAAUCUGGAAUAAAACUUUACUAGGCCUCUUAUGAAUAUGAGGCCAUAAAGCUAUUAAAGUAUAUUACAGAUUUUUUGGGUCAAAUUAUUUGGGCAAUCAAAUUGACCUUGAAAGCAGAAAUCACUUAGAUUUCAUCUGAAUAAACUACAGGGAAACAUGCCCUAACUCAGAAAAGAAAAUGAAUCUGGAUAGAUGGUAAUCUUUUUGUUCUUUACAAAUAUAGUGUGGGAAUUGGUCAGCAUGUCCAAAAUGCUCAUGUAUAGAAAUAUACAGUCAUAUUGUAACAACAAGCAUUUAUUGAGUCCUUCCUGUGUGUCAGACAUGGCACUAAGCUCUAAACCUGGGAUAACUUGUUAGAUCAUUCACAGCAGUCUUCAGAGGUACUAUUACUAUCCACAUUUCAUAGUGAAGAAACUGGAAAAGAUUAGGUGACUUACUAGAGGUCACAGAGGUAACUGGUGAGUCUGACAUCAUGAGAUUCUAGAACCAGCUCUUGUAAUAUCUUAUUAAUCCAUUUUGUUCCAUUGUUCCAGUUGUGGAAUACUUAGAAAAAUAUAGCAUAUGACAUAUGAUAAAAUUACAUAGUAAUAUAAGUGCAUUAAAAUUACCAUUAUAUUACUAUUAGUUAAUAUUAUAAUAGGUAUAAGCUCUAGGUUAUGAUUUUCAACCUAUUUGUUGCAUUUGUGUCAAUUUCAUUGAAAUAUUAGCAAAAUUCAACACCAGCAGGGGUAGGUGAUGAACAUUUUGUGUCUUGUCUGAUAAGUAGUAGGAGGAAAUGAACACUUAUCUUUGAGAUAAGCACAAAUAAUUUGCUCUCCCUUGAAUACAAAUAUCAUCUGCAUUCUAUUUCCAACAAUAUAAUGAAAUAAAAAUUCAUAUAAUUACCUAUCUAUUUUUUUGUAUUACCUUUAGAAAUAGAUAUCUGAGAUAUUUGAAUCAAUAUACUGGAAUCUUAAUGACAUAUUUGGCAUUAAAGUUCUGAUAUUAAAAAUAAAAUGGAUAUUUUAUAUAUCAUCAUUAGGUGUUUGCUAAUAUUCUAAAUUUAAUUCUUCCAAGUGCCUCAUAAAAUAAAAGCUAUUAUAUCCAUGUUAAAGUAUGAAAGGUGAGCACUGGAGUCCUCAGCAUACCCUAGUAACCCACCAGGGCUGGGCCUGCAUUUCCUAACUUUAAGUUGUUGUAGGGACAGACAAGGCAAGGCACUGAAGAUAGCAGGAAACAGUUUUCUUUUUUCUUUUUUGGCUACAGCCAGGUUCAAAGGGCACAGCUUUUGCCGUAAUCAAUCCAUCCCCUGAACCCGGAGUUCAGGUAGUUUCAGAAUUUCAUACCCAGCAUGUAAGAGGAGGGGCUCAGAAGUUCACAGUCUGUAGAAGUUCACAUAAAAGCAGUUUUUUUUUCUUUCUUUCACUGUUCUGGGCAAGUUAACCCUUCAAGGACAACAUCUGAGAAGGGGAGAGCUUCUUUUCCCCCUUCUUUCCUCCCCCUGCUAGCUGUUACCAUGGAGCCCAACUGGUAACUUCUCUUAUCUUAGAAAUGUAGACAUCUCUGUGAAGCCCCAGCUCAAGGCCAAAGGCCUUGUUUAUACAUUUCUACAAACUACUAUACUGGAUACAUGUUUGUGAAAAACUAGAAAGGGGGUGUCCGGCAACUGGAGUGCUGAUUUCUUCCCGGCCACUGGGCAAGUAAAACAGGGCAACACAAAAAUUGCAAGUUUAUCUACAUUGAACUCUUUUGUAGAGAUUCUUUUGCUGAUAGUCCUAAAAUCAGCCAUGGUGAAGAUUUCUGGAGAAAUCCAGUUGAGACUUUUCUGUGGAGAAAGGGGGUUUCAUUACAAAGUCCAGUACUUUGUUGGCACAGAGCUUCUCAAUCACACUGAGAUUAAAAGGCAAUCCACUUCUUGCAUACACAUCUCCAUAGGCAGGGUCUGCAUUCUUCAUUGUGUUCUCUUUUGAGUUCUGUGAAAUUUUAGUAAAGUUCAUUAAGCACAGUUUGUCUUAUGGAAAAGAAAAAACUAAAAACAAAACAGCUUUGUUUUUUGGAUUAAAGUUUAUCUGUUAAGAUAUGCAUAUACAUAUGUAUAUUUGCUUUAUGUGUACUUUGUAAUAAGCAUUACUAAUAAUUUUAUGAAAUUACAAAAGAAAUAGGGUCAGCAACAUGUUCUUCAGAGCUCAUUAGUAAUGAUUUGCAGUAAAAAAAAAUGGUCUCAAACUGAGUUUAUUGCUGCUUUUUUUCUCAUUGUUAGCUGCUGGGAAUAACAAUAAACACAAAACAUUUAAAUAGAUGAUAAGACAAUUAAAAUAGCAUUUUUAUGAUAGGUCAUAGUAUUAAGGCACUAAUGAUGGAAUUUUUAAUGUAAUGAUUGUUCUCUUUAACUUUCUGAAAGUCUCUUUAGAAAGGCUUUCUUUUUAAUCUUGCUCUAUUUACACCAAACCAUUAAAACUUUUUUCAGUGUAACAUAAGCACAGAAAAUGAGGGACAACAGAGAAGACUGUCUGGCCUCAGACCACCAGCUUUCACACUAAAGGCCUCAGAGCUAGUGUGCUUGAGAAUUCCACCAGAACAUACCAAAGUACAUGCAAACAAAAUCAGAAGACUUCCUCAAGGCAAGGGGGUAUGCAUGCAUGUAUUUUAAAUAGUUCAAUGUAAUUUAAAUAGUUCAAAACUACAGUAUACUUUGUUUUUCCCAUCAGGUUUUGGCUCUUUCUCUCCAGUGUGUGAUAUUGAUGCUGUCCCAUUGCCUUCUAUUGUAACCAUGAAGGUGAGAGAAAUAUGGUUGGGUAGAGGUAGAAGAAAGAAAAGUUCAGUAUUUUUUCCUGUAAACAUUUUAAGAUAUAAGUUGAUAAGGUCAGACUGGCUUUGUAUCAGUAGUUUCAGCUGAAUACCAAAUUCACAGGAGGCAGUGUUCAUACAUUCUGAGUUGAAAUUCGAAUGUUCUAAUCAAUGUUUAUGUUUCAUUUUGCAAAACACAGUAGUUCUUCUUUUUAAAUAGUUUUGACCUUUACAAAGAAAUUUCAUUAGAGACAAAACAAACAAGAAAAACCUCAAAACAAAAAAAGACCAGCAUGUUUUUGUUUUACUCCUCUCUCAGAGUAGCCGAAAACUUUAUGAAGUAACAUGUGUCUCACUUCUGGUGUGAGCUUUGCAGCACACCAUGGAAAGUCUUUGCUAUCUGUGGAGGAGAAACAGGUAGUAAAGAAAAUGCCUGGCAUAAGCAGCAGUGAACCUGAACUCAGAAGACUGGAAUCCUAGUCCUACUAACUCCUAAUCUUGAAAUCAGCUCUUCACCAGCUAAGGGACAGCAAAGUACAACUGAUGAUCCUCUCUUCCCCUGCUACCCACUGCUCUGGCGGAGCGGCAAUGUCCUGUGUGGGGUGGCUCUGUGUGGGGUGGCUCUGUGAUGAUUUACUCCAUUGUUGCAGUAUCUCUUCACAUUAUCCUUUGCACAAAUGACUGACAAAGUAAUCAUUCCUUUACCUCGUUUCCUAAUAUCAAGGUGAAUGUUUCCUUAGUCACAAAAUGAAUGACCCAAGAAGUGUAGAUCUGGAAGAAACAGGUAACUGCAGAUAUGUCUGGUACCUAUACUUUGUUGGCUAUCUUGGUUUUUUAAUCCUCAGCUCCUUGCAGUGCUUUAAAUGGCAGAGACUUUGAGAAUGGAUGCCUCACUGACAAGGGCUGGGGUUAAGCUGAAGGAUCGCAAUUAGUUGUUGGCCAAGGCUGGUUUCCUUACCAUCUCUCCCAGGCACUGUCAAAUAUAUUUAUUGUUAUGCUGAUCACUGGACUUUGGACACCUGAAGAAUGCCCUGUGGUGGUCUGAUUCUGCUCUGUUACUAUCCUUAUAACAUAAAAUGUGGUGUGUUUUCAACUUCUUUGGAUAUAGAAGACAUAGAAACCAAUGUCCUCAAGGGAUUGUGGUAGAGGUGGAAUAAAUCAACAGUGAAAGGCAUCUAAGCUUGGUGACUUUCACCUUCGUUUUCUUUUUUCCUUGUGGUGAGGAGAUCAAACUCAGGAGUGAGUUUCACUCUUAAAGCUUUACCAUAGCAUAGGGUAUACUCACUCUCCAUAGUGCCCAUUCCGCACAGAGAUCAAGACUCCUUUGCUUCUUUAAGGUUGACAUAGUUUUUGAAUGGGUGAUACAUAUAACUAUGAAAAGUCUUCUCUUCCUUGUACCAUAUUUAAUUCACAUGCACCCUUGGCCACAAACAGGUUAGCCCUAUUGUACACGUCUUGUGUAUUCUUACAUAGGUUUAUUUUAUGUUUUAUAUCCGUAACCCAUUAUUUGUCCACGUCAUCCUGUGAGAUCAUCCCUUUGAAGGGUUGGUUCUGAGGUUGAGCACUGUAACUUCUUUUUUCUUUCUCAAUGAACUGGAAAUAAAGCAGAGUCGCUGGUGCUUCAAAAAGCUAAGCAAAACAAUGCAAAACUGUACUUGUUAGGAUAUUUAGGUCUUAAGGGUAAAUCCCUCAUAACAUGCUGUGCAUCCUGUUAAAUGGGUUUUCUGUUUUCUGAGGAAAAUUAUGUGUAUACAGAUACUUCUCUCCCGGCUCAUCAUAAUGUUGGUAUAAUGAUAUGACAUUCAAGAAAAUCAUAAGUCUAGUCAAAUUUGCCAUUGUGAUGUAUCUAAGAAAAGUCCUGGGCAAAAAUCGCUGCUCAUCACAGAUCGUAAAUGCCUGGGCAUUGCUCACCUGUCUCUGUUGUCUGCAAGUACAUGUUUUUUUGUAGAGAAAUAAUCAGAUUCCUAUUGCACCCAACAUGUUUCCAGCAGAGUUUAGCACAAUUUCCUGUUACUAAUGACAGAAAAUAAAGGUUGAAACCAGAUUUACAAAAUACCAAAUUUAUAGUCCUAACAUUAAAAAGUAUAUUAUAAAUAGAAUUAUUUCAUACUUCUUAUUUUUUUAAUCCAUACUAGUCACAAAUACUGUUUCAGAUGGUUUUUAGUCAUGUAAAUUAUUUCUCUCUGACUGUGUAAUUAGUAUGAUGGACUGGUUUCUAGAGUAUCAUAUACUUAAUGUGAGUUUCUAAAAAUGCUUUAAUCAUAUAAUUGCUGGUUUAUCAAGUAGAAAAUAUAGGUCUGAGAACACUAUCAUUAUGUCAUUAUUUUCCACAAAAGACUGUGAAACACACUGAAGAGGCCAUUAUGAGGCAAAUAACAGUUUUUCUAUGGUGUCUAACUUUGCAAGGAUUAAAAAAGGGAGGGAGGGAGGGAGGCAAUAGUAAGGAAAAUGCCUAAAGGUAAAGAGUUUAAACUCAAGCAGGCAAUUUAUUUUGUGUCUCUGCAAAAUCAGUACAAAGGACGCAAAUAGGUGCCGAUAGAACAAGUAGACUGUCUAACUCAAUGAGUGCCACUGGUAUUUAGUAAUAAUUUCACUAAAGUCUGUGAAAAAUCCUAAAGAAAAUGAAAUAAUGUUCAGAUUUUCUGUUUGCAUUAGAAUCCAGUUGCACUGUUUCCUGCUAGUUAUUAUUGAGUGUACUUUGUUCAAGUGUGAUUGAAGUAGAUAAUAACUGACAGUCACUUGGUCUCAAGCCAGCAAAAACAGAGGCAUAUCAUCUGGAAUGGCUAACUGGUAAAUUCAAAUAUAAUUUUACAGAAUUCAAAUUAAAAAAAAAAAAACGCUUUCUGACAGUGAAUGGUUAUGGGUGAAAAAAAUCUAUUUUUAACCAAGUCUAGAAAAGGUCAAGGUAAUACUGUUCCCUUUGUGAGUUUAGCCUGAGAUAAGGAGAAUCCUAAAAUGUCUCUCUCAUUGUUUUUGUUAUGCAAGCGCGCGCGCGCGCGCACACACACACACACACCACAAAGAAGGUGAAUGAUUAUUUUAUUUCUGCCAUUAUGCUUUUCUUCUGCUUGAUUUGUGUGUUUUGCCUUUUGCUUUCCUUGCAAUGUAAUAUAUGAUUGGCUUUUGUUUUGUAUCUUGGGUAUUGAAGGUCUUUACUUUCAGAUACUAAAAACUACCAUAAGGAUGGCCAUCUUAGCUUUAAUCCUGUUUAAAAAAAAUCAGGUACCAUUUUCUCAGGUGCUUUACAAAUAAUCAAAAUGUUCUUCCCUCUGGUAUGUUAUUUGUCCCUAUACCUUAAUUGUAGGGGGAAAAGAUAGUCAUAAAAAUUUGAGGUGGAGGAAAAGAAGUUGAUAAAACCUAGCUCUAAAACUACAGAAUUUUGAAAUCUCAAUGGAUUAUCAUAAACUAAAACUAAGAGUCAAUAAUGCCAAUUCAUGGGGUGAUAUCAAUUUUGAAUCGGCAGGUGACCAAAUAGAUGCAUAUGCAUAUGAUGAAGGAAUUUUAUGUUAAUUAUUCAAACAUCAUAGUAUUUACAAUUAUUCCAGGGCAGUUUUUAAAACCUAAAUCGUGGUGUAAUUUUCACAAACCAUUUAAUCCAUGUAAGUUCACCAACUUUAAUCCAGUAUUAACUAAAAAUAGAAAGCAGACAAGGUUUGAGUAAAACGCAACCAAACAAAACAAAACAAAAAAAUGAAAAUACAUAAACCAAAACCAAAACCAAACCAAAGAAACUCAAGAUAGAAUCCAACAGAGAAGUGAAGGUAAAGGAGAGUCAGGAGACUACGAUUGAGGCAAGCAAAUCCAUGGGGAUAGAUCAGCAAAGUUGAAUCAGACUUUAAAUUUGGAUGGUUCAGCUGAGCUUACUUUUUAUAUAUUUGUUUUCAUUCCAGGAACAUUUAUUUAGAGUCUACUAUGUACUAGUAUAUCUAUCAAGGCAUGGAAUUUAAAGAAAUCAUAAAGUCCCUGCCCUCCAGAACAUUGAAUGAUAAUGAAGACAGAUAAGUACUCAAUUAAAAUACAACAUGGCAAAAGGAGUGAUGGCGGUAGGCACUGGUUAUUAGAACAUGCAGGAGAAUGGAGCUGUAGCACUCCCUGUGACACAGUGGGAGAGACCAUUUUCAGGGAAGGAAUCCAGAGAGGAGACACCGAAUUGUUUGGGUAUGAGGAGUUAGGUAUAAUGGAAGAAGAGAUGCAAAUCCAGCCAUGAAAGCAAUAAAUGGCAUGUGUGAUAAUUCUGUAUUAUUGGCAUAUAAUUGUGAGAUGGGAAGACAGGAUGGAUGUAGGCAAAGGCUAUACAUGAUGGUUCUGUGAGGAAGGUUGGGCUUUUUUCUGAAGAGGAAAGGAAUCAUUAGAGAGUUUUUUCUGCUAUUUCUAUGGAGGAUGAAGUUGAGGGAAAUGAUAUUUAAGCAGACAGAACAGUUAUGCUUUAUGACCUUGUAGAAUUUCCUCAUAGAAGAUCAUCAGAAAAUUAAUAGAAAAGCCUAAAAAUUACUGUGGUUUUCUUGUGUAUGACAAUUCUUUUCUUCUUUGUAGACGGAGAAGCCUGAAGGGGAAAAAACACAGUCCACUGUUUUCUGAGGAAGAACUGUGAGACCCUCUUGCCUCCACUUGUAAUCAUAGGGAAGUGGAAGCUGUGUUUCCUGGAGACCACCUGGGUGAAAAAUGCUAAAUGGACAUCACAGAAGAGCUGCUUUAGAAGUGAAGUUUUGAUUUGAACCACUCAUUUAGUGGUUGUUAAUUAAAUCAAUCUGGUAAUCUGGGUUUUACUUUUUUAAAUGAUUCAUUUAUGAUUCCAAUAUCAUACUAAAGAGGUAGGAAGGAAAAAUAUUCAGAGUAGUAAAAUUAAGGUAGAAGAGUCUAAGAUAAUAAACAACUUCUGUCACUGAUCAUAAAUGGUUAUAAACUCUCCUACUAUCUAUAUAUCUAUAUCAAUAUCUAUAUCUAUAUCUAUCUCUCUAUAUAUAAUGGCAUAAGAACAAAUGUGAAUUUGUUAAUAAUCAAAAUUAUAGGGCAAAUCUAAAUGAGAGAAAAGAAAAUCCUCAAAAAUUUCAAGUAUUUACCCAUCAAUUUUUUUCUUCUGUGUCCCACACUCGUUUCAGAAUACACAUUAAGACUGUCUUCCCACUUAGACAUACUUUCUGUCUCUGGGGAAUGUAAUGCAUACUGUGAUUCUUUAUGGAUUAACUGUAAGUCCAAGACAGUUUUAAGACAUCAAAACUGCCUAACUGGAAACUCUGAGCUGCCCUCAGCCAGUAACCUAGGGGGCUGUGCAACUCAUAGCCUCUGCCUACCUUCACUUGUUACUGCAAUGGAAAUUUCUAUCACUUCUGUUGGGCAGUGACUUUAACGUCUUAUGACCUUUACUUGGCCUGCCUGGUGAGAGUUCUUUGAGGAAUUACAGUUGUGAACAUGUGCUUAAUUUAUUUUU
rnacentral:lncRNA from 1 species